ACUGUCAGAUCAAACAUUUCUCUCAUUGUCCUUCCCAUAGAGAUAAUUUUUCUAGAACCUCAACUCACCUGGCUGGGUAGAGCUGGAACCCCCUGAAUUUGCAGUGGGCCUGUAGUCCAGCUCUCUGCUCUGGUCCUCUCCUCCACCUGCUUUAGACGUUUUCUUCUCCUGCACCGCAGCCUGGCCUCCCCAGACGUCCUUCUGUUAUACCUCAGGACAGCCAGAGCCUGUUGGCUAAUGCCAGAGGGCUGAUCGAGUUCAGGGAUCCGGUUCUGUUGCAUUGGACCACGCAGGUUAUUCCGAGAGGGUGGCCGGAGGAGCGGGCCCAUGGCUUCAAGCUCAGGUAAUCGCUGAGAUGAACCUCCAAGGAGAGCAAGGGAUAAGCCUGCUCCCGGAACCACAAAAGGCACACUAGAAGAUGAUGUGUGAUGCUGGAGAAAGCUCUCCCCAACUGCUCAGAAGCAGGCAAAGCUCAGAAGAGGAUGUGAUGAGAACACUAAAUUCCAGUGGAAAUGACAGAAGGAUGCAGAUCGGCAGUACAUAAUGGUCCCGACUGGGACCCAAGGCAGAAGUUUGACACGAAUGGAGCCUUGGUGACUUGCAUAGAAUAAAAUGGAACAAAAUCUUGAAAACAAGCGGAAGAUACACAAAGCUUUGUUCCGCUCCGUCGCUUAGAGUGGCUGUCUAUUUUCAACAAGGUUGGAAUUAGGUUUUUGUGAGCAGAAGUCAUGGCGAUGCUGAACACAGGAGACAGUUCUCCCGUGAAAACCCCACCAGAAAAUCUCCCGGGAAGGUCUCACCACAAAGCCCGCUUGCUAGUCGGGUGACAGGGCCUGCAGGUUGGCUGGUGUUUGGUGGCAACUGAGAUGAAUGGGGUUAAAGACUCUUUUAGAAGUGGGACCACUGCUGUGGCAUUAAUAAAAGUUUGGAAAAUGCAGAAAAUCUGGGAGAAGCAGACAUUGAUUCUCCCACGGUCUUCUAGCCCAAACCCAGCUAUUCUUGUCAUUUUCUUGUUCCAUUAUAGUCUUUUUUUAAAAUGUAUUUUUGUGAUCAUGCUGUGUAAACAAAUUUUCUAUACUGUUGUCUCUUCAAAUGGGCUUCCCUAUGUUACUACUUUGUAAAAAUCCUUCUUAUUAAUUGCACUAUAUCCCUUCAAGUGGGCGUGUCCUGAUUUGGUGUGUUUCUCUGAAUAUUUGGGUUAUUUCCAACUUUUUAUGAUUAUACGCAUAUUUGUGCAUAAGGCUAUUUUCCAUCUUUGAGGUUAUUCUCUUAGAAGAGCAAUACAGUUUACAUGUCAAAGAGCAUACCGAUUUUGAAAGCUUUUGUUGAAAAUUACCAACCUACCUUCUCAAGGAGGGAGCCCAUUACAGCGUUACCAUCCACCUGCGAAUGCUGAGCCUCCAUCAGAUCCCAACUUAAGGCAGACGUUUGGGCUUCUCUUUGCUGUCUUCUGAUCCUGUUCAUUUGUUCAUUCAUUCAUUCAUUCAUUCAACAGUCUUUGAACCUCUGCCGUAUACCAGGAAUUGUUCUGUGUGUAGUGGAAACAAAGAUGAAUCUUACACAUCCUGCUGCUCCGAGAACUCAGUCUAGGAGAGGAGGCGGAUGAUAGACCAGCAUGUUUGUGAGGGGUGAGGUGGAGCCUGGAGCCAUGUUUUCCGGUGUCUGCCGCAGGACAGGGCAGCCCUUGUGGAGAUUUCUGCAGCUCUGCUCCCACCAGGCCCAGGAUCCCAUUUCCUGAUCCCAGUGUCCCCGGGCGCUCCUUCACACUUCUCCUUUCCCCAGAGUCCCUUUCUUCUCGCCUUCUUCGCAGUCUCCCUUGGACUUUUGUAUCCGUGCCAUGGAACUCUCAGCUCUCCUGAGUCCAUAACUGUGUCUUUAGCUUCCUACCCAAGUCACCCAUCUUCUUCAGAUUGACCAUGUAGUCAGAUUGUCUCAUCCUUUUUAUCUCCUAGUGCUUCUGCAUUCCUCUCUCUGUAUCCUGGGGACACCAUCCAGAGCCUCUGGGUUAUUUUCUCUAUACUUCUCAAUCCGCCCUGAGUUUCUCAGCCCCCAGCCUGAGAUGAGAAAAGGAUAUUUGGGAAGAGGCAGUAGGAGCGUGACAGAACUGUCUGGAAGCCCCUUAGAGCAUUUCUGCCAUCCACCGUGCUUCUUGCAUGGCCUUUGGGAAAAGACGCGGGUGAUGACCCUUCAGAGAAUUAACAAACGUGGCUCUUUUGGGCAACAGCAGAGUGUCUCCUUGCAGCUUCGUUAGGUGCAAGCUGUUGGCCUGAAGUUUUAACGUUCUUUUCAUUUUUGUCUGUGUCAUCACCCGUUUUGAGGGACAAACUGUUCAUUCAGUUGGAUUCCUUUUUUCUUGGCCAACUCUUGCACAGAGGCAAAGUUGCUAAGAAGGAAGUAGUUUCUCCCCAGUCCCGGAGGACUACAACAGUAACACUUUAGCUUGCCUCUAAUUACAGCCACCAUGACAGUUCAUAUGUUGUAGCAAUAAAAAUAACCAUAAACCUUACAUAAUCAUUAAAGUUAAGCAAACAGCCCCUCACUGCAUCAUAAUGUACAGGUAGUUGCUAAUAAUCCAGGAACAGCAUUGGGGCAUUGAAGGAACAUCUUUCCUAUCUCCACAGUUUCUUAAACAACUUUAGAGACAUAUUUUUAUUAAGUAUAUGCAAGGCAGAUGAUCUUAAACCUCAAGAAGAGUGUGCAUAAUAAUUGUGUACUCUUCUAAUGCUCUCCAAAGACCUAUUCAGAGUCCGUUCUGAAAGACAAUAAUAUAUCAAGAAGUUCUGCAAACUUCCUCCUAAUGAAGACAUGCCAAUUGGAGACCAAGAAUGUGGCCUCGAAGGACAAAAUAACCACCACUCUCAGUCUCUUGGUGUUUUGCUACUUUAUUUCAGAGUGAUUCAAAAUCUAAUUAAAUUUCUAAACUCUAAUGAAAUUACAGAAGAAAAAUCAUUUAGGAUUAUAUUAUGUACAAUUACUCACAGCUGAAAAUUACAGUUAGCCUCUUUCACCACGAUGGAGUCUCCCGGGAAAACCCCUGUUAUUUAUCCACCAUAUAAAUCUGACACUUCUCCCAAGAUUUACACGUUGGAGGUAAAGCUGAAUUAAUUAAAUGUAUAUAUCCUGAGCUCCAGCAGAUAGAUGGGGAGGGAGUCAGGGACAGGGAGAAAGCGUGCGGGCUGAGAGUCCCUCAUGCGAGAAGUCUGGGUUUGGAUGAGUAAAGGCUGACGGUAGACUCCUUCUAACUGGGAAGAUGCUCAGAGUCUGAGCUCUUCUGGGAGCAGAAGCAUUGCACCUGGAAGAGGAGGGCAGAGCCUCAGAUGGCGAGCUUAGGGUGUGAGAUGCUCAUUCCAAGCUCUGUUUGGCUUUGAGAAUCUUAGCUUAUUUUUCUGUAGGUAAGAGAAGACCUUGCCGCCGGAAGUUUGCUUAGGGAUAGUGGCUUGAAUUUCUAUUUUAAGAGAAUUGAAUAACUUGAUCAAUCCAUGCUAACAAAAAUAAUCAGGCUCUUUUGAGUCUUCAGCAGCUGGUUAGCAGUUUCAUGAAAUCCAUCUGCUGGAAGUCUUUAAUUUCUGUGAAUAGAGAGCUUUGAAGGUGUCUCCAUACUCACAACACAACACUUUUUGUUGUGGGAGCCUUGGACUUCCAGGAAUAUGGACUAAGUAAUGUGGAUCUUUCCUCUCAUUGAGAAUGAAUAGAAAAGCUCAACAAAAUAUUUUAAACGUCUGUUUAAAGUUAUCAGAGAGCUAACGAGACAUUGAAGAAACAUAAGAACAAGAUCUGGGAGAAGAAACUCUGAAUGAGCCUGGAAUUUGAAAAGUUUUUCACCCAGAGUCAUCUUUCAAUCUCAAGAGAGGUGGCUGAGAUGCUAAGAAGUGUGGAUAGCUGACAAUAGCUUUGAGAGGAUAGAACUCAGAACCUGCUA